CAAAAUUGAUUCUGGAAAUCAAUUAAGGUGCCAAAUUUUGAAGAAAGAAGAUAGUGCCAUUUACAUGAGGUGAUGUCUAACAACUCUUCAACCACUGUUAUUAUCAUGCAACUGGGAAUCUACACAGUCUUUGCUUGUAGAAGAUUGAGGCUCGUGCUUGGAACAUGUCUUCACAAUCUAAGGAAAACUAGAUGAGCAAAACACAUUAACCAUUUUCAAGACAUUAUAAAAGAUAAGAAAUCC